CGUGCUAAUCUGCGAUAAGCGCCGGUAAGGUGAUAUGAACCGUUAUAACCGGCGAUACCCGAAUGGGGAAACCCAGUGUGACUCGUCACACUAUCAUUAACUGAAUCCAUAGGUUAAUGAGGCGAACCGGGGGAACUGAAACAUCUAAGUACCCCGAGGAAAAGAAAUCAACCGAGAUUCCCCCAGUAGCGGCGAGCGAACGGGGAGGAGCCCAGAGCCUGAAUCAGCAUGUGUGUUAGUGGAAGCGUCUGGAAAGGCGCGCGAUACAGGGUGACAGCCCCGUACACAAAAGCGCAUGUGCUGUGAGCUCGAUGAGUAGGGCGGGACACGUGGUAUCCUGUCUGAAUAUGGGGGGACCAUCCUCCAAGGCUAAAUACUCCUGACUGACCGAUAGUGAACCAGUACCGUGAGGGAAAGGCGAAAAGAACCCCGGCGAGGGGAGUGAAAAAGAACCUGAAACCGUGUACGUACAAGCAGUGGGAGCCCCACCACUAAGCCAGUGGUGAACUCCACAUACGCAUCCUUUGCUGAGGAUACGGUUAACGGAGCGAAAGCGACGUUCAACCGCAAAAGAAGCAGAGGGGGCUUAGUGGUGGGGUGACUGCGUACCUUUUGUAUAAUGGGUCAGCGACUUAUAUUCUGUAGCAAGGUUAACCGUAUAGGGGAGCCGGAGGGAAACCGAGUCUUAAUUGGGCGUUAAGUUGCAGGGUAUAGACCCGAAACCCGGUGAUCUAGCCAUGGGCAGGUUGAAGGUUGGGUAACACUAACUGGAGGACCGAACCGACUAAUGUUGAAAAAUUAGCGGAUGACCUGUGGCUGGGGGUGAAAGGCCAAUCAAACCGGGAGAUAGCUGGUUCUCCCCGAAAGCUAUUUAGGUAGCGCCUCGUGAAUUCAUCUCCGGGGGUAGAGCACUGUUUCGGCUAGGGGGCCAUCCCGGCUUACCAACCCGAUGCAAACUGCGAAUACCGGAGAAUGUUAUCACGGGAGACACACGGCGGGUGCUAACGUCCGUCGUGAAGAGGGAAACAACCCAGACCGCCAGCUAAGGUCCCAAAGUCAUGGUUAAGUGGGAAACGAUGUGGGAAGGCCCAGACAGCCAGGAUGUUGGCUUAGAAGCAGCCAUCAUUUAAAGAAAGCGUAAUAGCUCACUGGUCGAGUCGGCCUGCGCGGAAGAUGUAACGGGGCUAAACCAUGCACCGAAGCUGCGGCAGCGACGCUGAUGCGUUGUUGGGUAGGGGAGCG
rnacentral:rRNA from 1 species